UCUACGGGAGGCAGCAGUGGGGGAUAUUGCACAAUGGGGGAAACCCUGAUGCAGCGACGCCGCGUGAGUGAAGAAGUAUUUCGGUAUGUAAAGCUCUAUCAGCAGGGAAGAAAAUGACAGUACCUGACCAAGAAGCUCCGGCUAACUACGUGCAAGAAGCCGCGGUAAUAUGUAGGGGGCAAGCGUUAUACGGAUGUACUGGGGGUAAAGGGAGCGUAGACGGUUAUGUAAGUCUGGAGUGAAAGUCCGGGGCCCAACCCCGGGAUUGCUUUUGAGACUGUGUAACUGGAGUACAGGAGGGGCAGGCGGAAUUCCUGGUGUAGCGGUGAAAGGCGUAGAUAUCAGGAGGAACACCGACGGCGAAGGCGGCCUGCUGGACUGAAACUGACGUUGAGGCUCGAAAGCGUGGGGAGCAAACAGGAUUAGAUACCCUUGUAGUC
rnacentral:rRNA from 1 species